rnacentral:rRNA from 1 species
AUUGAACGCUGGCGGCAGGCUUAACACAUGCAAGUCGAGCGGGGUGAUGGUGCUUGCACUAUCACUUAGCGGCGGACGGGUGAGUAAUGCUUAGGAAUCUGCCUAUUAGUGGGGGACAACAUUUCGAAAGGAAUGCUAAUACCGCAUACGUCCUACGGGAGAAAGCAGGGGAUCUUCGGACCUUGCGCUAAUAGAUGAGCCUAAGUCAGAUUAGCUAGUUGGUGGGGUAAAGGCCUACCAAGGCGACGAUCUGUAGCGGGUCUGAGAGGAUGAUCCGCCACACUGGGACUGAGACACGGCCCAGACUCCUACGGGAGGCAGCAGUGGGGAAUAUUGGACAAUGGGCGCAAGCCUGAUCCAGCCAUGCCGCGUGUGUGAAGAAGGCCUUAUGGUUGUAAAGCACUUUAAGCGAGGAGGAGGCUACUUUAGUUAAUACCUAGAGAUAGUGGACGUUACUCGCAGAAUAAGCACCGGCUAACUCUGUGCCAGCAGCCGCGGUAAUACAGAGGGUGCAAGCGUUAAUCGGAUUUACUGGGCGCAAAGCGCGCGUAGGCGGCUAAUUAAGUCAAAUGUGAAAUCCCCGAGCUUAACUUGGGAAUUGCAUUCGAUACUGGUUAGCUGGAGUGUGGGAGAGGAUGGUAGAAUUCCAGGUGUAGCGGUGAAAUGCGUAGAGAUCUGGAGGAAUACCGAUGGCGAAGGCAGCCAUCUGGCCUAACACUGACGCUGAGGUGCGAAAGCAUGGGGAGCAAACAGGAUUAGAUACCCUGGUAGUCCAUGCCGUAAACGAUGUCUACUAGCCGUUGGGGCCUUUGAGGCUUUAGUGGCGCAGCUAACGCGAUAAGCAGACCGCCUGGGGAGUACGGUCGCAAGACUAAAACUCAAAUGAAUUGACGGGGGCCCGCACAAGCGGUGGAGCAUGUGGUUUAAUUCGAUGCAACGCGAAGAACCUUACCUGGCCUUGACAUAGUAAGAACUUUCCAGAGAUGGAUUGGUGCCUUCGGGAACUUACAUACAGGUGCUGCAUGGCUGUCGUCAGCUCGUGUCGUGGGAUGUUGGGUUAAGUCCCGCAACGAGCGCAACCCUUUUCCUUAUUUGCCAGCGAGUAAUGUCGGGAACUUUAAGGAUACUGCCAGUGACAAACUGGAGGAAGGCGGGGACGACGUCAAGUCAUCAUGGCCCUUACGGCCAGGGCUACACACGUGCUACAAUGGUCGGUACAAAGGGUUGCUACCUAGCGAUAGGAUGCUAAUCUCAAAAAGCCGAUCGUAGUCCGGAUUGGAGUCUGCAACUCGACUCCAUGAAGUCGGAAUCGCUAGUAAUCGCGGAUCAGAAUGCCGCGGUGAAUACGUUCCCGGGCCU